rnacentral:tRNA from 1 species
GCCGAGGUGGUGAAAUUGGUAUACACGAGAGACUUAAAAUCUCUUGGAGCUUAGCUCCGUGUGGGUUCGAGUCCCACUCUCGGCACCA